rnacentral:sRNA from 1 species
CAGAAACGGACUUUUCCCUUUGGCUUUUUUUGCUAGGAGCCCUUGGAGGGCACUGGGACCCUGUCCUCUUUUGUGUGACAAGGCUCUGGGCCUGGUGUCUGUGUUUGGGAGGGGAGCAGUGCCUGCUGGGGGUCGGGCUAGUGGAUAGUCUUUGACCUCUGCCUGCCAUUCCUGGGUCCCCAGCUGUUCCUGUUCCAGCUGCUCCGUGGCCUGGCCUACUGCCACCGGCAGAAGGUGCUACACCGAGACCUCAAGCCCCAGAACCUGCUCAUCAACGAGAGGGGAGAGCUCAAGCUGGCUGACUUUGGCCUGGCCCGAGCCAAGUCAAUCCCAACAAAGACAUACUCCAAUGAGGUGGUGACACUGUGGUACCGGCCCCCUGACAUCCUGCUCGGGUCCACGGACUACUCCACUCAGAUUGACAUGUGGGGUGUGGGCUGCAUCUUCUAUGAGAUGGCCACAGGCCGUCCCCUCUUUCCGGGCUCCACGGUGGAGGAACAGCUACACUUCAUCUUCCGCAUCUUAGGAACCCCAACUGAGGAGACGUGGCCAGGCAUCCUGUCCAACGAGGAGUUCAAGACAUACAACUACCCCAAGUACCGAGCCGAGGCCCUUUUGAGCCACGCACCCCGACUUGACAGCGACGGGGCUGACCUCCUCACCAAGCUGUUGCAG